CAUUCAUGUUUUUAAGUUUGCGAAGGGACCGCUGGAGGUAUCGAUNANNCAAUUUAUUGUUUGUGACUUCCUUUAGUUGUUUCUGAUCGACUUAUAUUUUUUGCGAUAACUUCCUUCUCUUCGUGAGAUUGUAAUUUUUUUGUACUUUGCAUACUCUAUGCUUGAACUUUCUUCUCGUAGGUUGGUGAUGGUUCGACAUUUAGUAAGGGUGUUUUUCACUUCUGAACUCGUGUCUUACUUGAGGUGACCUUUAAAGUGAGAUGUUUUUUUCUUCGUUAUUCCUUCCAGUUUGCUUUCCUGUAGCUUCAUCCCAUUGAAUUGGGUUUUUUGGAAACGCUUUCGACCUACUGCGGUAGACUCGAUUCACGCCCAAUUGUAAAAGACUUUGCUUCUUUUGUGUACUAACCCCUAGGAAUAGGGGAUAAAACUGGGCAAUUGAUUUCCAUGUAAAUCCUCGGGUACAUACUCCCCUCAGAGGUCUUGGCAGCUUAAAGUGCGAGUUUGAUAACGAUGAUUUAACAUGUACACUCGGUUUGAUUGUGAUGGCGAUGAGAUAUGCUUGUAAUGCUUGUACAAUUCUAUAUAAUACUUAACACACUAGAGAACAAACAAUUUUUGACAUACAACCCGUGGCGGGGGAUGUCUCGGCUUCCACAUCGAUGAAGAACGUAGCAAAAUGCGAUAUGUAAUGCGAUUUGCAGAACUCGUGAGUCAUCGAAUUUUUGAACGCAAGUUGCGCUCGCGGGAAAUCCUGCGAGCACGUCUGUUUGAGUGUCCGUACAAAAACUAAAACACUUGUUUUUUAUUUUUCCUUUUGUCGACUUUGUUGCUUGCAAUGAUUUUGACAGUGUUGAGUGUUUCCGUUCACAGUGCAUUUUACAUGUACAGGAUGGUCACUUUAAGUUGAGGGGUACUGUUCCUCGUGAACUUUACCAUUGGCAUGGUUUUUUAAACCUUACUACACCGUUCCCCUUCUACUUUUUAAGUAGUUAGGAGAUGCUCACUUGCCUAUGACUUCGUUUUUCACUUGGAAUUUUUGUCUAGGUACUGAUGUUUUCCUUCGGCUGAGGUGCGAUUGUUGUGAAGUGAUUACUUGAAAUGCAACUAUUCAACAACCUCUGAGGGACGAUAGCUUUACUGUUUGAACUCAAUUUGGACUUGUGAUUUAAGUUGUCGCGCUUGUGUGAUACUAAGACGCGUAGCAAAACAGUGC
rnacentral:rRNA from 1 species